UACGUAGGGUGCAAGCGUUGUCCGGAAUUAUUGGGCGUAAAGAGCUCGUAGGCGGUUAGUCGCGUCUGCUGUGAAAACUCGGGGCUUAACUCCGGGCCUGCAGUGGGUACGGGCUGACUAGAGUGCGGUAGGGGAGACUGGAAUUCCUGGUGUAGCGGUGAAAUGCGCAGAUAUCAGGAGGAACACCGGUGGCGAAGGCGGAUCUCUGGGCCUUGCCUGACGCUGAGGCGCGAAAGCUAGGGGAGCGAACAGG
rnacentral:rRNA from 1 species